CCCUUCCUAUGACUACAGGCCUUUGACGCACUAUGGUGACAAGCGGGGGGCGGGGCCUCCGGGAAGGAAAUUAUGAAUGCUCUUUUUAGGUUUGGGAUCAUGGUUCCAUGAAGUGCCUGGAAGAUGCCCUCAGGUGUAUUGGAGUGACAAGAGGGGAGGAUAAACAGCACUUUUCACACUGCACCGUCAUUAUUUUCGUGACUGUCUACUUGCAAAGCUGAGGAUAUUGACCAGGCAGUCCUUUACAGAAAAAGUCUGCUGACCCUUGGACUCGAAUAAUGGUUCUCAACAUGGGACGAUUUUGCCCUCCGGGAGACAUGCAGACAUUCUGAAAACAUUUUUGGUUGUCAAAGACAGGGUUUCACUAUGCAGUGCAGGCUGGCCUUGAAU